AAAAAGAUAAGCUAAAUGAAGCUAAUGGGUUCAUACCCCAUACAUGAAAAAAAAUUCUCUUUUUA
rnacentral:tRNA from 1 species